rnacentral:rRNA from 1 species
UACAGAGGUCUCAAGCGUUGUUCGGAUUCAUUGGGCGUAAAGGGUGCGUAGGCGGCGCGGUAAGUCGGGUGUGAAAUCUUGGAGCUUAACUCCGAAACUGCAUUCGAUACUGCCGUGCUUGAGGACUGGAGAGGAGACUGGAAUUUACGGUGUAGCGGUGAAGUGCGUAGAUAUCGUAAGGAAGACCAGUGGCGAAGGCGGGUCUCUGGACAGUUCCUGACGCUCAUGCACGAAAGCGUGGGGAGCAAACAGG